rnacentral:rRNA from 1 species
UACGUAGGGUGCAAGCGUUAAUCGGAAUUACUGGGCGUAAAGCGUGCGCAGGCGGUUAUGCAAGACAGAUGUGAAAUCCCCGGGCUCAACCUGGGAACUGCAUUUGUGACUGCAUGGCUAGAGUGCGGCAGAGGGGGGAUGGAAUUCCGCGUGUAGCAGUGAAAUGCGUAGAUAUGCGGAGGAACACCGAUGGCGAAGGCAAUCCCCUGGGCCUGCACUGACGCUCAUGCACGAAAAGCGUGGGGAGCAAACAGG